rnacentral:rRNA from 1 species
GGGGAAUCUUGCGCAAUGGGCGCAAGCCUGACGGACCAAGACCGCGUGCGGGAGGACGGCCUAUUGGUUGUAAACCGCUUUUGAUAGGGAAGAAGCUCUGACGGUACCUAUCGAAUCAGCAUCGGCUAACUCCGUGCCAGCAGCCGCGGUAAUACGGAGGAUGCAAGCGUUACAACGGAAUUAUUGGGCGUAAAGCGUCCGUAGGUGGUUGUUCAAGUCUGCUGUUAAAGCGUGCGGCUUAACCGCAUACCAGCAGUGGAAACUGGGCGACUAGAGUGCGGUAGGGGUCAGGGGAAUUCCCAGUGUAGCGGUGAAAUGCGUAGAUAUUGGGAAGAACACCAGCGGCGAAAGCGCGUGACUGGGCAUGAACUGACACUCCCGGACGAAAGCUAGGGGACCGAAUGGGAUUAGAUACCCCAGUAGUC